rnacentral:rRNA from 1 species
AGUGAACGCUGGCGGUAGGCCUAACACAUGCAAGUCGAACGGCAGCACAGUAAGAGCUUGCUCUUACGGGUGGCGAGUGGCGGACGGGUGGGGAAUACAUCGGAAUCUACUUUUUCGUGGGGGAUAACGUAGGGAAACUUACGCUAAUACCGCAUACGACCUACGGGUGAAAGCAGGGGAUCUUCGGACCUUGCGCGAUUGAAUGAGCCGAUGUCGGAUUAGCUAGUUGGCGGGGUAAAGGCCCACCAAGGCGACGAUCCGUAGCUGGACUGAGAGGAUGAUCAGCCACACUGGAACUGAGACACGGUCCAGACUCCUACGGGAGGCAGCAGUGGGGAAUAUUGGACAAUGGGCGCAAGCCUGAUCCAGCCAUACCGCGUGGGUGAAGAAGGCCUUCGGGUUGUAAAGCCCUUUUGUUGGGUAAGAAAAGCAGCAGGUUAAUACCCCGCUGUUCUGACGGUACCCAAAGAAUAAGCACCGGCUAACUUCGUG